rnacentral:lncRNA from 1 species
UAAGCAACAAGAUUGAUUUUUUCACAAAUAGGAAAAGGUCCAAGCCUAUGAUAGUCCAACUUGUCAUAAGGACAAAUAGUCUUGAUAUUAUGAUGAAGUAGCCAUACUUUGUCACCCACAUUGAAUUAUGGUUCUUUCUUGCAAUAGGCAUCUGUAUUGAAAUUUUUUCAUUCUUGAGCUUUUUUUGAUUGCACCUUCAUUGUUGCAUG